CCUGCAUCCCGAAUAUAUUCAUGAGUAUGGAAUCAUGUCAAACUCAAAUGCAUAUUCAUAUUGAUUCUCUAACAAUCAAUGAUGACUCUAAUGAUGAAAUUUUAGAAACUCUUUCUAAUCUUUAUCCUACUUUCAGCCAAAAGAUUUUUUCUACGUCAUUUAGAGAUGAGAAUACAUAGGAUAUGAUCUCCUCUUACAAGGA
rnacentral:lncRNA from 1 species